rnacentral:rRNA from 1 species
UGGGGAAUUUUGGACAAUGGGCGAAAGCCUGAUCCAGCAAUGCCGCGUGUGUGAAGAAGGCCUUCGGGUUGUAAAGCACUUUUGUCCGGAAAGAAAUCCUUGGCUCUAAUACAGUCGGGGGAUGACGGUACCGGAAGAAUAAGCACCGGCUAACUACGUGCCAGCAGCCGCGGUAAUACGUAGGGUGCAAGCGUUAAUCAGAAUUACUGGGCGUAAAGCGUGCGCAGGCGGUUUGCUAAGACCGAUGUGAAAUCCCCGGGCUCAACCUGGGAACUGCAUUGGUGACUGGCAGGCUAGAGUAUGGCAGAGGGGGGUAGAAUUCCACGUGUAGCAGUGAAAUGCGUAGAGAUGUGGAGGAAUACCGAUGGCGAAGGCAGCCCCCUGGGCCAAUACUGACGCUCAUGCACGAAAGCGUGGGGAGCAAACAGGAUUAGAUACCCUGGUAGUCCACGCCCUAAACGAUGUCAACUAGUUGUUGGGGAUUCAUUUCCUUAGUAACGUAGCUAACGCGUGAAGUUGACCGCCUGGGGAGUACGGUCGCAAGAUUAAAACUCAAUGAAUUGACGGGGUCAUAGCUGUUUCCU